GCUGUCUAGUUAGCAAUUAUACCGCGAAACUGCGAAUGGCUCAUUAUAUAAGUUAUCGUUUAUUUGAUAGUACCUUACUACUUGGAUAACCGUGGUAAUUCUAGAGCUAAUACAUGCUAAAAAUCCCGACUUCGGAAGGGAUGUAUUUAUUAGAUUAAAAACCAAUGCCCUUCGGGGCUCCUUGGUGAUUCAUGAUAACUUCUCGAAUCGCAUGGCCUUGUGCCGGCGAUGGUUCAUUCAAAUUUCUUCCCUAUCAACUUUCGAUGUUUGGGUAUUGGCCAAACAUGGUUGCAACGGGUAACGGAGGGUUAGGGCUCGACCCCGGAGAAGGAGCCUGAGAAACGGCUACUACAUCCAAGGAAGGCAGCAGGCGCGCAAAUUACCCAAUCCCGACACGGGGAGGUAGUGACAAUAAAUACUGAUACAGGGCUCUUUUGGGUCUUGUAAUUGGAAUGAGUACAAUUUAAAUCCCUUAACGAGGAACAAUUGGAGGGCAAGUCUGGUGCCAGCAGCCGCGGUAAUUCCAGCUCCAAUAGCGUAUAUUAAAGUUGUUGUGGUUAAAAAGCUCGUAGUUGAACCUUGGGCCUGGCUGGCCGGUCCGCCUCACCGCGUGUACUGGUCCGGCCGGGCCUUUCCCUCUGUGGAACCCCAUGCCCUUCACUGGGUGUGGCGGGGAAACAGGACUUUUACUUUGAAAAAAUUAGAGUGCUCCAGGCAGGCCUAUGCUCGAAUACAUUAGCAUGGAAUAAUAGAAUAGGACGUGUGGUUCUAUUUUGUUGGUUUCUAGGACCGCCGUAAUGAUUAAUAGGGACAGUCGGGGGCAUCAGUAUUCAACUGUCAGAGGUGAAAUUCUUGGAUUUGUUGAAGACUAACUACUGCGAAAGCAUUUGCCAAGGAUGUUUUCAUUAAUCAGGAACGAAAGUUAGGGGAUCGAAGACGAUCAGAUACCGUCGUAGUCUUAACCAUAAACUAUGCCGACUAGGGAUCGGACGAUGUUAUUUUUUGACUCGUUCGGCACCUUACGAGAAAUCAAAGUGCUGG
rnacentral:rRNA from 1 species